UACGGAGGGGGCGAGCGUUAUUCGGAAUUAUUGGGCGUAAAGGCGCGUAGGCGGCCCUGUAAGUCAAAGGUGAAAUCCCUCGGCUCAACUGAGGAACUGCCUUUGAAACUGCAGGCUUGAGGCCGGGAGGGGGUAGCGGAAUUCCCAAUGUAGCGGUGAAAUGCGUAGAUAUUGGGAGGAACACCAGUGGCGAAGGCGCUACCUGGACCGGUUCGUGACGCUGAGGCGCGAAAGCGUGGGUAGCAAACAGG
rnacentral:rRNA from 1 species